CAACAAUAGAGUGGUGCGUACCAUUAUGUCAGUUCGCAAUAGGUGCAUCUCCACAAGAUCAAACGUGGUUUCACUUACUUUACAUUAAGAAAAUCUGAAAUUGUAAAUGUGUACUAAAGCAGUGGAUAUGCCUGCCGCAAUGUAUGGGAUCUACUUGAUUGCAGCCGAUUAAUUACCCAUAACACUACAUUCGUUUCUGUGGAUCCCUUUCUGAAGGGAGUGACUUGAUCCAUCUCCACUGCUGCUUUUUACCAGGACUCCUUUUACACAGGGUAUCAGUGGCACUUCUAAUAUGGACCCAGGCUGGAGAUUGCGAUUACUAGAUACGAUUGAACGCUCUUAACUCAGUAGGAAUGGGAAGAAAAUAAGACGAACCGAACACACUUAUCAGGUAGCGGCAGCCCAGCAGAGCCAUGCCGUUGGUGAAGCGCAGCAUCGAGCCCCGGCACCUGUGCCACACGGUGCUGCCCAGGAACAUCAAGAACGAGCUGGAGUGUGUCACCAACAUCUCCCUGGCCAACGUCAUCCGCCAGCUGAGCAGCCUCAGUAAGUAUGCGGAGGACCUGUUUGGGGAGCUGUUCAACGAGGCCCACACCUUCUCCUUCCGGGUCAACUCCCUGCAGGAGCGUGUGGACCGCCUCUCCAUCAGCGUCACCCAGCUGGACCCCAAGGAGGAGGAACGUGAGUGGUCCCGCACGGCCCGAU